rnacentral:rRNA from 1 species
AGUCUGACUGACUCCGCCGCGUGAGUGAAGAAGGUUUUCGGAUCGUAAACUCUGUUGUUGGAGAAGAACAAGGAUGAGAGUAACUGUUCAUCCCUUGACGGUAUCUAACCAGAAAGCCACGGCUAACUACGUGCCAGCAGCCGCGGUAAUACGUAGGUGGCAAGCGUUGUCCGGAUUUAUUGGGCGUAAAGCGAGCGCAGGCGGUUUCUUAAGUCUGAUGUGAAAGCCCCCGGCUCAACCGGGGAGGGUCAUUGGAAACUGGGAGACUUGAGUGCAGAACAGGAGAGUGGAAUUCCAUGUGUAGCGGUGAAAUGCGUAGAUAUAUGGAGGAACACCAGUGGCGAAGGCGGCUCUCUGGUCUGUAACUGACGCUGAGGCUCGAAAGCGUGGGGAGCAAACAGGAUUAGAUACCCUGGUAGUCCACGCCGUAAACGAUGAGUGCUAAUUGUUGGAGGGUUUCCGCCCUUCAGUGCUGCAGCUAACGCAUUAAGCACUCCGCCUGGGGAGUACGACCGCAAGGUUGAAACUCAAAGGAAUUGACGGGGGCCCGCACAAGCGGUGGAGCAUGUGGUUUAAUUCCAAGCAACGCGAAGAACCUUACCAGGUCUUGACAUCCUUUGACCACUCUAGAGAUAGAGCUUCCCCUUCGGGGGCAAAGUGACAGGUGGUGCAUGGUUGUCGUCAGCUCGUGUCGUGAGAUGUUGGGUUAAGUCCCGCAACGAGCGCAACCCUUAUUGUUAGUUGCCAUCAUUCAGUUGGGCACUCUAGCAAGACUGCCGGUGACAAACCGGAGGAAGGUGGGGAUGACGUCAAAUCAUCAUGCCCCCUUAUGACCUGCGCUACACACGUGCUAGAGUGGUGAAGUACAACGAGUUGCGAAGUCGCGAGGCUAAGCUAAUCUCCUAAAGCUUCUCUCAAUGCGGAUUGCAUGCUGCAACUCGCCUGCAUGAGACGGGAUCUGCUAGUAGUCUCGCAUCAUCACACGCGAUGAUACGAUCCGGGCCAUGUACACAGCUGCUCGUCAAUCACGAGAGUUCGUAUCACCAGAG